rnacentral:misc_RNA from 1 species
AAUAACAAAACAGUUUUUUUCCAAGCUGUUUUUUCCAAUAGUAUCUAAAAUUAUUCAUUUUCUAAAAAGCGCUUUUUGGCCUUUGAAACUCAAUGCCAAACAAUUUUGAACUUUUUUUUUUGUGCAAAAAAUAUAGGGUAAAUAUAUUUGAUAGGUUUUCUGAUUGUAAAACUGGAUUUUUUUUUUUAGAGGAACGAUUUGUUAUAAUAAAUAUAUCUAAUUUAUGUGUUUGGGUAUGAAAUUGCAGAGUUCCAAUUGCUAUGAAUAUUUCGAGUGAUAUGAUGACCCAAUCAUUAAUUAUAAAUAUAAUUUUUGGACUUUUGAGUAUGAUUAAUAAACAUGAGGUAGAGGUUGCAGGAGAGAAACUAAUAUGAAUUUCAUAUGUGAAAUUUUAGUUUCUUAAAUUUCUUUUUAUUUUACAGCGUGAUACUGUCACAUAUCAAAUUGAUCGGAGAUAUGAUGAGAUUCUAGCAUGAGGAACUUUUAUAUAAUGUUUACUGAGAGAUUUUAUGGUAACAAAAU